GUCUUUAAGCCGUUUUGAGUUUCUUUUUGUGUAUGGUGUGUGGGAGUGUUAUAACUUCUUUGAUUAACAGGUGGCUGUCCACCUUUUCCAACACUACUUGCUGAGAAGACUUUUCCCCCAUUGUAUAUUCUCACCACCUUUUUGAAGAUUAACUAACCAUAGGUUAAAAGGAAGCACCACACCUGUAAUCCUCCCUUUGAAUCUGAUCCACCCAAGCCUUGAGAACUUGGAGUCUGGCCAGUGACUGUAAGAGGGGACCCUUCUGAAGACAGUCCCUGAUGGACACCGGCUCAUGGUGGGUUUGCUGGGUUUUCUUCAGGUCUGCUCCUUCACCCCUGUUCCACAGAGUCCCUGAUUUCUGCCCCCUCACGCAAGGCAUUUCUUGGCUAAAAUCUCAGUCUGUUUUUCUGACUUCACUUGGCUGGUGUCCCCCCAAGCAUUUCUAAAAAUGUUAACCUGGCCUCAGAUCCCACUUUUGGCACCUCAUUCAAGACCUGACUUAUCCCAGCUCUGCCUUAGGCCCCCUCUCCGCAGAGAGGCACUGUGAUGUAACUAGAUAAACCUUGGCCACUCUAGGAGACCUCAACUCAUCUCCCCUCUGUGGGCCUUUUCUCUUCUACACAACGGACAGCCUAAGGUUUGCCUUUUUUACACUGCAAAGCUGUGACAGGCAAGUGUCAGAGUCAACAUAAAAGUCAACGUUGCCUAAAAUGAGUAAUAAUGACCACAUCUCUGUGGAUCGGACACUAGGCCCAGCACUUUACAUCUAUUAACCAGCUUAUGGAUAGUAAAUCAUUUCCCCCUUUGCUUUUAGGGACAGAGAUGUUUCUUCAGAAGAUAAGAGAAAGACUGAAUUCAGUAUGGUGCAAUACCCACUCUAUGUGCCAAGCUGUCUGUGCUUGGUGUUCUUGCCCCCCUGAAAGCCCCUCUCUUUUUCUGGGUAUCUUAGCAUCAUCAUCAGUGUUAGGGCAACCAAGGCACAGUGAAUACUUGGGGAUAGAUUCAGAAUUCUUGAGAAAUUCAUUAGGAAGCUCAGUGGUUACCAACCAAGUUAGGGUCAGCAGCAAGCAUGGAAUGACAAUUAAGUAUAAAUUGUUCCAGAGUUUGUCCCUCACCCAGCCCCCAACCCCACUGGCAGCCGCUGAACAUUUGUGAACAAACAAAAUGAAGUGAGAUUUCAACAGCUGCUCUGUCUCCCUUUCAAGUUAACAUAAUUCUAGCUCGGAUAUAGCCUGAAUAUGUUUGAAUGGUGAUCCCUAAAAAGAUAUGUCCACAUCCAAAUGCCUAGACCCCCAUAGUAUUCCUUUCUUUGAGAAAUGGGUUUUUAUAGAUAUAAUUAAAGUUAAGGGCCUUACUAAUUUAUUUUUUAUUGAACUAUAAUUGAUUUACAAUGUUGUAUUAAUUUUUGCUGUAUAGCAUAGUGACUCAGUUAUACAUGAAUAUACGUUCCUUUUUAUAUUUGUAAUUAAGGAUCUUAAAAUGAGAUAGUCUGGUUUGCCUGGGUGGGUCCUAAAUCCAAGGACAAGUGUCAUGAGAGACAGAAGAGGAACGACAGACUCGCUGAGAAGACAGAGGCAGAGACUGGAGUGAUGUGGUCACAGUUGGGGAAGCCAAGGCCUGCUGCCAGCCACCAGAAGCUGGAAGGGGAUGCUAUACUCAAGAGUCCCUGGAGGGUGUGAGGAAAUCCCGUCCCUGCCCUUGGACGUGCAGUCACUAGCACACCACAGAGAUGCAGGUGAUGAUGGAGCAUUGCUCUAGUGCUCGUGAGGUGGGUACCAUUAUCAUCCCUAUUCCUGAGUGAGGAAACGAAGGCACCAGGAGGUCAAAGAGCUUGCCCAAGGUCCCUCAGCUGUAAGUGGAAGAAUCAGACAUGAGCACGUAGGUAAAAAUCACGUUGUCUGACCACCCAGAGAAAAGGAAGGUGCUGCAUGGCUGACGACACCCAGGAGGGAGGGAGUUCAGGAGGGGCCCUGGGAGGACCCCUGUGCUGAGAUCUGAGCCUUCUCUGGCAGCCUGAAGCCUCUGACCCACGGCCUACCUGCCGGAUGUCCCCUCCACCCCCGCAGCGGCUUGGUGUCCUUUUAGCUGUGAGGCUAAAUUUGGCUGGCUCAGGGCAGGUGAAACCAGCCCAGUCUCAUAACACUCAGUCUGAGGAGGGGAAGGCUUCCUGGAGGAAGCUGCAUUUAAUCAGAGACGUGGAGGAGGAGGAGUCAGGUAUGGGAGAAGAGGUCAGGAAAGAGAGUUCAGGCUGGGACACGGCUGGCCAAAGCCCCCAGGGAGUGUGAAAGUGAGUGAUCAGUUUCUUCCGAGCUCUUCACGUGUCUCAACUGCAUGUUUACCCAAACCCACGCAGGGCAAACUCACCGCAACUUUCCCAGCCCACAUUUCCAUCCGUUCACUCUUUCCUCUGCACAUUCAAAAGACUCAUCCACCGCCCUCCACUUUGGCAAAACACAUGGUCUUAUCUGCAGGCCCAUCUCAGAACUGUCUGAGCAUCCAGCUGGCCUGGGCCCCUCAGGACGUGGUCUCUGGGACGGA